rnacentral:rRNA from 1 species
GAUGAACGCUGGCGGCGUGCUUAACACAUGCAAGUCGAGCGAAGCACUUGGUUUGAAGUUUUCGGAUGGAAAAUCAAAUGACUGAGCGGCGGACGGGUGAGUAACGCGUGGGGAACCUGCCUCAUACAGGGGAAUAACAGUUAGAAAUGACUGCUAAUGCCGCAUAAGCGCACAGUGUCGCAUGACACGGUGUGAAAAACUCCGGUGGUAUGAGAUGGCCCCGCGUCUGAUUAGGCAGUUGGCGGGGUAACGGCCCACCAAACCGACGAUCAGUAGCCGACCUGAGAGGGUGACCGGCCACAUUGGGACUGAGACACGGCCCAA